AUGGGGACUUAUAAUGGCCGACAGGGCCCUUUUCCCUUUUUAGGUAGUAAAUGACUUUUUGUCAGAACGGGGAUAAAAACUAAGACGCGAAGAUUUAUGGAGCCUAGACACAAAACAGAUCAUGUCAAACACUUUUAAAUAAAAGAGCAAACUAAACGAGCUUUGUUUAAACUCUGGGUUGGGGCG
rnacentral:rRNA from 1 species